UACAGAGGGUGCGAGCGUUAAUCGGAAUUACUGGGCGUAAAGCGUGCGUAGACGGUUAUUUAAGUCGGGUGUGAAAGCCCCGGGCUCAACCUGGGAAUUGCAUUCGAGACUGAAUAGCUAGGGUACGGUAGAGGGAAGCGGAAUUUCCGGUGUAGCGGUGAAAUGCGCAGAUAUCAGGAGGAACACCGGUGGCGAAGGCGGGUCUCUGGGCCGAUGACUGACGCUGAGGAGCGAAAGCGUGGGGAGCGAACAGG
rnacentral:rRNA from 1 species